ACAACAUUCGGACCGUCGGUCUACCGAGCAAUAUCAUCCGCUCGGUGGAAGAUCUUCCCUCUGUCGU
rfam:Bombyx mori DNA, contig: Bm_scaf100_contig35970, strain: p50T/Dazao, build 2, whole genome shotgun sequence.